rnacentral:rRNA from 1 species
UACGGGGGGGGCAAGCGUUGUUCGGAAUUACUGGGCGUAAAGGGCUCGUAGGCGGCCAACUAAGUCAGACGUGAAAUCCCUCGGCUUAACCGGGGAACUGCGUCUGAUACUGGAUGGCUUGAGGUUGGGAGAGGGAUGCGGAAUUCCAGGUGUAGCGGUGAAAUGCGUAGAUAUCUGGAGGAACACCGGUGGCGAAGGCGGCGUUCUGGACUGUCUCUGACACUGAAGAACGAAAGCCAGGGGAGCAAACGGG